CUAUGAAAUUCGAGCGUGUAAUGUAGCGUAAAUGUCGUAAUGGAAGAAAUUCUCACUGACUUUUCACCGAUAUCCCAAAACAGCUCAUACAAACAAAAAUAGAUAUGGAUUAAAAUUGUAGUGAAUCUAACCUUUCAAGUUUGGUCAAUUUUAAGUAUACACAUAUGCAAAAUUCAAAAUUUACUCCGGAUUUCGGGGCCCAAAGGCCUCUUGAGCCAAUUGGCAAAACUAGAUUUAAUGAACAACGCUCAAAAUAAAUUUGAUUGAAUUAAAAAAAUAACGUACAAAAUCAAAAGAGACCAUAUAUCAAAAACUAGGAAGUCUUCCUAUGAAAUAACAGUUCUCUAUUUCUAGAAAUGAGUCACAAUCAUUUAUCGGAUUUUACUAGAUUGUGAUUUCUGUAAUCGUCACCUUUGCUUAAAUUUUCCUAUGAUUCCAAAUGCAAUUUCGAAAAAACCAACACUAAGUAUACGAAGCAUAAACUUAUAAAAUAUAAAACUCAUCCAAGACGAAUGUUCUGAAGUAAACUGAUAGUCUUAAACUGAUGCAAUUAAAAUACAGAGGGAAAUUAUCACAAUAAAAAUUAUAAAACAAUUGCUAUAGUAAAUAAACAAAGAAAUUACCAAACAAACGAGUACCAAAUUUGAGUCGAACUGCAAUAGUUUAAAAACUUAGCAUAAUUACAUGACUAAAAUAGACCUACAGUCAUAAACACUUGAAUAAUUGUGUAAUUAAUUGUUCAUAAUGCACUCAAAAUCUUUAUCUACUGUCAAUACGCUUGAACACAACAUCAUGUAAUAGCAAAAAUAUGAAACAUUGGGCUAUUUCAACAGCUGACUACUUACAAAAACCAAUUCGUCUACAAAUCUACAUAGCCGAAUAAACAGAAAUUUACUGAACAAUUGUUUCUAAUGCUGGCAAACAUUUACUUCUCUAAUCUCAACUUUUCCCACUUAAAAACAAAAGGACAAUCAUACUACAUAUUUAUUUUAAAACAUUCUUUGAUAAUGAAAACAAUUCAAUGAAGCAACAAGGCAGUAGGCAAAGAUUAAAUUAAACAACAAAUAAUCUUAUUAAAACUGAUGAAAUUUAUCUCAAAUUCUACAAUAUUUGAAAGCAAGAAAAACAAUUGAAUCUAAUGAAGACACGAUUGAAACUCUAAAGAGCCAAAAAGAAAUGAAAAUUUCCUUGAGCCCGUUUAAAACUUACGUUUUAUCGCGUCCGUGCAUUUCCAGCAGUUUUAGCAUGGAGCAACUAUUUCAGCGAUGGGAAAACUACUGAUAAAGAUCUCAAACGGCCAGUUAAUAAAACCGAACCGCAGAUGCAAUUUAAAAAAGAUCGUAUCCACUUGUUAAGAUUAUAGAGAUUCUUUAAAAACAAGGCA